rnacentral:rRNA from 1 species
ACGUAGGGUGCAAGCGUUAAUCGGAAUUACUGGGCGUAAAGCGCACGUAGGCGGAUUUGUAAGUCAGGGGUGAAAUCCCGGGGCUCAACCCCGGAACUGCCUUUGAUACUGCGAAUCUCGAGUCCGGAAGAGGUGAGUGGAAUUCCUAGUGUAGAGGUGAAAUUCGUAGAUAUUAGGAAGAACACCAGUGGCGAAGGCGGCUCACUGGUCCGGUACUGACGCUGAGGUGCGAAAGCGUGGGGAGCAAACAGGA